AUUAGUCAGUCCUGCCUUGUGUCAGUAAGACAACCAUCAACAAUGCACAAACAUGCAUGUGCUUGGCUGUGUUCCCACAGAACUUCAUUAUAGACACUGAAGUUUGAAUUUCAUAGAAUUUCCAUGUGCCACAAGCUCUGGGAUGAUGCUGGGGAGGAAAAUACAACCCCUCUGAGUGGACACGGCACGUGGGCUUUCACCAGCAGACGCCCAGCAUGGUCCCCAGCACAUCAGUUCGGCUCUCCCUGGACUCUAAGGGUUAAAACACGCAUAUCAACAGCAGACCAUUUAUUUCUGAGUCAUCAACACCCGGCCUGAUGCAGGCUCUCUUCUGUGGAAGACGGACAGGAUGCCGAGAGAAGGGUUACCUGCCGUGGAAUUUC
rnacentral:lncRNA from 1 species